rnacentral:rRNA from 1 species
CUUGUACACACCGCCCGUCACACCAUGGGAGUUGGCUUUACCUGAAGACGGUGCGCUAACCAGCAAUGGAGGCAGCCGGCCACGGUAGGGUCAGCGACUGGGGUGAAGUCGUAACAGGGUAGCCGUAGGGGAACCUGCGGCUGGAUCACCUCCUUU